rnacentral:rRNA from 1 species
UACGUAGGCAGCAAGCGUUGUUCGGAAUUACUGGGCGUAAAGAGUGUGUAGGCGGUGCUCUAAGUCUGUUGUGAAAUCUCCCGGCUUAACCGGGAGGGUGCGACGGAAACUGGAGUGCUUGAGGGUGGGAGAGGUAAGCGGAAUUCCUGGUGUAGCGGUGAAAUGCGUAGAUAUCAGGAGGAACACCUGUGGUGUAGACAGCUUACUGGACCACUUCUGACGCUGAGACACGAAAGCGUGGGUAGCAAACAGG